UACGUAGGGUGCAAGCGUUAAUCGGAAUUACUGGGCGUAAAGCGUGCGCAGGCGGUUAUGUAAGACAGUUGUGAAAUCCCCGGGCUCAACCUGGGAAUUGCAUCUGUGACUGCAUAGCUAGAGUACGGUAGAGGGGGAUGGAAUUCCGCGUGUAGCAGUGAAAUGCGUAGAUAUGCGGAGGAACACCGAUGGCGAAGGCAAUCCCCUGGACCUGUACUGACGCUCAUGCACGAAAGCGUGGA
rnacentral:rRNA from 1 species